GAGUUUUUUAUGCAGGAAUAUAGUUGUUUAAACUCCAAAUAUGUGGUUGAUUUCUCACGAGAGAGCUGAUUUAAAAAAUUGCUACGAUGUUUUCGGAGAUGUGAGGUCCCGCCCGCUAACGGGCCCGGCUGUCAUCAAGUCCGUUGCUGUUCCAAUUGCUGAAUGACUGACUGCGUGCUCCCGUUCCUAGGAGUUUGUACUCCCGAGCCGAACUUGCCAAGUCCUAGCUUUAAAGUACAGAAGUUUGAACAUGGCGAACUUGGCAUUGAGAAACAGCCCACGUUUUCAGAAAAUUCAAGAUGGCUACCUGAUGCGAGGGAGACGAAUUAACGGAGCAUUUAACAAAAGUUUAUUCCAAUAUUUAUUCGCAGCGCUGUGAAAGAACUGUUUUUGUGUUCUUUAACUUAUAUUUUACAAACGUGUGUACUAUGGCAGGACCGCUUCAGGAUGUAGAGGCAGUUUGGUGCUUUACUGUUAUGCAAACGUUAACGGACGUUAGCUCCAAAGUAACGUUGUGUCUGAGCUUUCGCCUGACAGUCGGCAGAGAAUGCACUUUGGUCUUGUGAGUGAAAAAGUUUAUCUAAUUUUGGCUCUGUUGUCAGGUUACGUUUACAGAAAGGCUAACGUUAAUUAGAAGUAAGCUAGCUCACAUUGAGGUAAGGUUAACUUUGCACUGUUGUCAUCUGCUGUCAGUCAGUUAACUGUGGAGACAGUCAACCUCUGCGUUUGUUUAUAAGCUGUUCCUGAAAUAGUGUUGAUGCAUGGCUAAAAGUUUAGUUUUAUUAGCUGUGAACCUAAUGAUUCUCCUCAGCCCUUCUAUUGCAGAAACUAGUUGCUUCGUCUGAAGUGGCUGUAACGUUAAUAUGUAUUUGUAAAGGAGUAUUUUUCCACUGUGGUAAUGAAACCUUUUAACUGGUGAAGAAUGCUCAGUUUUCAUUGAAACUAUUUUAUCAUUUGUUCAUUUUGGAAGAUGUUUGUGGUAACCUUACGUUGACAUGAGUUGCAUUAUUAUAGGGCUGAAACGAUUUAUCGAUUAAAUCAAUAACAUCGAUUAAUAAAAUGCUGAAGAGAGGAAAGAGAGAGGAAAUAGCGAGGGACAAAGAAGAAAGUGUCCAAAGUAUCGGAUUAUUUCAAAUUAAAGAAAACAACAACUCUGUAAUGUUACCAUCCGUCCACCUUAAAACAAAACUGAUGUCGCCUCGGCAACCUGAUCAGAAACCAGCUGGUGUUCUGCCAGUGGACCACAGACAAGGAUUAAGUAUUGAGUGACACAACAGCUAUCCAAGGUGUUUUCUGAGUUCCAUUGUCAUCAUUACUAAUGUUGAAGCUAUAGAGCCAAUUCAAUUGUGAGCUUGACACCACAGCUGAUUGUCCUGUCCAGAUGGAGGGCCUCACAGAUGGGCAAGACGGCAGAGGCACUGCGGAGAUCCUAGGAUUUAUGACCUCCAGAUCCUGAGCAGCUGAUUGGGCGUCGUUAUCCAGUGAGAGUCUGCGUUCUUGGAAUUCCUAAAGAUGGUGUCGGGCAGCCAGAUCAAGCCGACCAUAUUGCUGGUUGAAUAAGAGGCAGACAAAGAGAAGAGACACAGCGAGCGAGCGAGAGAGAGAGAGAGAAGGGGGCAGAAGCAGCUACUCACUCCAAGGACAAGCUGCAGCAAGCCAUCUGCACCGCUGAGAGGGACAUUAGCUGCAAUCACCCAACAACUGGGAAACUGUACUCCUUUGUACACAGCAGCUCCAGUAAAUUAUAAAGUCUAUCCACCCCCAACCCAAAAGAAAAGUCCUUGGCUAACCACUGGUGAUUUCGCUGGAGUGGAGUGGACAUGGGAGACACAGAUCGAUUAAAUGGUUAGAGCUCACAGGGAUGGGAAAUGUGUCAGCAAUGAUCCAGACCCAGCUUGGUCUUAUUACCACCCAAUGCUCUUCACUUUGGAAUCAGCCCACCGCUUUAAAGCUCUACAUGAUUGCUUGGCCGUUCCUUUGUGGUUUCUCAUUAACUCAUGAAUGCUGAAGGAAUGAAAGCUCCACAACCUCUCUUUGGAAAUGAAUUAAACAUUUUUGAAAAGCUA